UACGAAGGGGGCUAGCGUUGCUCGGAAUUACUGGGCGUAAAGGGCGCGUAGGCGGAUAGUUUAGUCAGAGGUGAAAGCCCAGGGCUCAACCUUGGAAUUGCCUUUGAUACUGGCUAUCUUGAGUUCGGGAGAGGUGAGUGGAACUCCGAGUGUAGAGGUGAAAUUCGUAGAUAUUCGGAAGAACACCAGUGGCGAAGGCGGCUCACUGGCCCGGUACUGACGCUCAGGUGCGAAAGCGUGGGGAGCAAACAGG
rnacentral:rRNA from 1 species